rnacentral:tRNA from 1 species
GCUGAGGUAGCUCAGUUGGUAGAGCAUUCGCCUGAAGAGCGAAGGGUCGGCGGUUCGAGACCGCCCCUCAGCACAA